UUGUAGCCUGCUAUGGUAUAACUUAGUGGCAGACGGGUGAGUAAUGUAUAGGAAUCUACCUAGUAGUACGGAAUAAUUGUUGGAAACGACAACUAAUACCGUAUACGCCCUACGGGGGAAAAAUUUAUUGCUAUUAGAUGAGCCUAUAUUAGAUUAGCUAGUUGGUGGGGUAAUAGCCUACCAAGGUAAUGAUCUAUAGCUGAUCUGAGAGGAUGAUCAGCCACACUGGAACUGAGAUACGGUCCAGACUCCUACGGGAGGCAGCAGUGGGGAAUAUUGGACAAUGGGCGAAAGCCUGAUCCAGCCAUGCCGCAUGAGUGAAGAAGGCCUUUGGGUUGUAAAGCUCUUUUAGUGAGGAAGAUAAUGACGGUACUCACAGAAGAAGUCCUGGCUAACUCCGUGCCAGCAGCCGCGGUAAUACGGAGAGGGCUAGCGUUAUUCGGAAUUAUUGGGCGUAAAGGGCGCGUAGGCUGGUUAAUAAGUUAAAAGUGAAAUCCCGAGGCUUAACCUUGGAAUUGCUUUUAAAACUAUUAAUCUAGAGAUUGAAAGAGGAUAGAGGAAUUCCUGAUGUAGAGGUAAAAUUCGUAAAUAUUAGGAGGAACACCAGUGGCGAAGGCGUCUAUCUGGUUCAAAUCUGACGCUGAAGCGCGAAGGCGUGGGGAGCAAACAGGAUUAGAUACCCUGGUAGUCCACGCUGUAAACGAUGAAUGUUAAAUAUGGGGAGUUUACUUUCUGUAUUACAGCUAACGCGUUAAACAUUCCGCCUGGGGACUACGGUCGCAAGAUUAAAACUCAAAGGAAUUGACGGGGACCCGCACAAGCGGUGGAGCAUGUGGUUUAAUUCGAUGCAACGCGAAAAACCUUACCACUUCUUGACAUGAAAAUCAUACCUAUUC
rnacentral:rRNA from 1 species